UACGUAGGUGGCGAGCGUUGUCCGGAUUUAUUGGGUUUAAAGGGUGCGUAGGCGGCUUUGUAAGUCAGUGGUGAAAUACUCCAGCUUAACUGGAGGGUGCCAUUGAUACUGCGGAGCUUGAGUACAGAUGAGGUAGGCGGAAUUGACGGUGUAGCGGUGAAAUGCAUAGAUAUUGCUCGGAAGGCCAACGGCGAAGGCAGGUUACUGGUGCGCAACUGACACUGAGGCACGAAAGCGUGGGGAGCGAACAGG
rnacentral:rRNA from 1 species